UACAGAGGGCCCGAGCGUUGUUCGGAUUCACUGGGCGUAAAGGGUGCGUAGGUGGUGAGGUAAGUCGGAUGUGAAAUCUCCGGGCUCAACCCGGAAAUGGCAUUGGAAACUACCUUGCUGGAGGAUUUGAGGGGGGAUUGGAAUACUUGGUGUAGCAGUGAAAUGCGUAGAUAUCAAGUGGAACACCAGUGGCGAAGGCGAAUCCCUGGAAAAUACCUGACACUGAGGCACGAAAGCUAGGGGAGCAAACAGG
rnacentral:rRNA from 1 species